rnacentral:piRNA from 1 species
UAACCACUUGACCAAGGCAGGCCUUCUC